rnacentral:rRNA from 1 species
AGUGAACGCUGGCGGUAGGCCUAACACAUGCAAGUCGAACGGCAGCACAGUAAGAGCUUGCUCUUACGGGUGGCGAGUGGUGGACGGGUGAGGAAUACAUCGGAAUCUACUUUUUCGUGGGGGAUAACGUAGGGAAACUUACGCUAAUACCGCAUACGACCUACGGGUGAAAGCAGGGGAUCUUCGGACCUUGCGCGAUUGAAUGAGCCGAUGUCGGAUUAGCUAGUUGGCGGGGUAAAGGCCCACCAAGGCGACGAUCCGUAGCUGGUCUGAGAGGAUGAUCAGCCACACUGGAACUGAGACACGGUCCAGACUCCUACGGGAGGCAGCAGUGGGGAAUAUUGGACAAUGGGCGCAAGCCUGAUCCAGCCAUACCGCGUGGGUGAAGAAGGCCUUCGGGCUGUAAAGCCCUUUUGUUGGGAAAGAAAAGCAGCAGGUUAAUACCCCGCUGUUCUGACGGUACCCAAAGAAUAAGCACCGGCUAACUUCGUG